GGGCCCGCACAAGCGGUGGAGUAUGUGGUUUAAUUCGAUGCAACGCGAAGAACCUUACCAGGGUUUGACAUCCUGCGAAUUUCUGGGAAACCGGAAAGUGCCUUCGGGAGCGCAGUGACAGGUGGUGCAUGGCUGUCGUCAGCUCGUGUCGUGAGAUGUUGGGUUAAGUCCCGCAACGAGCGCAACCCACGUCUUUAGUUGCCAGCAUUUAGUUGGGCACUCUAGAGAGACCGCCGGUGAUAAACCGGAGGAAGGUGUGGAUGACGUCAAGUCAUCAUGCCCCUUACAUCCUGGGCUACACACGUACUACAAUGCUACGGACAAAGGGCAGCAAACUCGCGAGAGCUAGCAAA
rnacentral:rRNA from 1 species